GACGGUAGAGCUCAGUGGGAGAGCACACGCUUAGCUUGCAUGAGGUCCUAGGAUCAAUUCCCAGUACCUCCA
rnacentral:tRNA from 1 species